UACGUAGGGGGCAAGCGUUGUCCGGAAUCACUGGGCGUAAAGGGCGCGUAGGCGGCCUUGCAAGUCGGUUGGUGAAAGCCCGGGGCUCAACCCCGGAGGUGCGGCCGAGACUGCAGGGCUGGAGGCCGGAAGAGGAGGGUGGAAUACCCAGUGUAGAGGUGAAAUUCGUAGAUAUUGGGUGGAACACCGGUGGCGAAAGCGGCUCUCUGGUCCGGACCUGACGCUGAGGCGCGAAAGCGUGGGGAGCAAACAGG
rnacentral:rRNA from 1 species